rnacentral:misc_RNA from 1 species
GAUGAAGAACGCAGCGAAAUGCGAUAAGUAAUGUGAAUUGCAGAAUUCAGUGAGUCAUCGAAUCUUUGAACGCACAUUGCGCCCCUUGGUAUUCCGAGGGGCAUGCCCGUUCGAGCGUCAUUAUACCCCUCAAGCCUAGCUUGGUGUUGGGGCCUGCUGUUACCGGCAGCCCUUAAAAUCAGUGGCGGUGCCAUCUGGCUCUAAGCGUAGUAAUACUUCUCGCUACAGGGUCCCGGUGGAUGCUUGCCAUCAACCCCUAAUUUUCUAUGGUUGACCUCGGAUCGGGUAGGGAUACCCGCUGAACUUAAGCAUAUCAAUAAGCGGAGGA